CACCGGAUAGUCGAUGCACCACGCACAUCAUACAUGAAACCGAUGGUACGUCUGGUUGAGGGUCAAUAUCGAUCAGAUUAUCAAAUAAUAUACCAAAAUUGAUACAUAUGAUACAUAUGAAUGAUAUAUGUUUUGGAUAUAUUAUUUGUUAAAAUUAAUUCAUCAGGUGAUGAUGUGAUGAUAAUCAUUGAAAAAUGACAAAAAUCCCCUGAUUAAGUAUGAUAAAAAUAGUAAGUAAAAAAGGCAAAUUUUUUUUUUUUACAAAAUAUUUAAUUGUAGUAAUAAAUUUUUUCUUCUUUAUAUAUAACUGCUGUAAACCAUAAAAAAAAAAAAAAAAAAAAAAAAAAUAUAAUUUUUUUUAUUUUUUUUUUUUAUUAUUUUUGUUAUGCUUUUUCCCGGGUGUUAAAAACAAAAAAAAAAACAAAAAAAAAAAAAAAAAAAUAAAUAAAAGAAAAAAAACCAUAAUAUAUUAUAUUUUUUUUCUUUUUUUUCUCCACUCCACCCUAAAAUACCCCACAAAAAUAAAAAUACCCCCCCCCAAAAC
rnacentral:misc_RNA from 1 species